GCGCCGGUGGCUCAUCCUGGUUAGAGCUCACGGCUGUUAACCGUGAGGCCGCGGGUUCGAAUCCCGCCCGGCGCACCA
rnacentral:tRNA from 1 species